rnacentral:rRNA from 1 species
UGGGGAAUAUUGCACAAUGGGCGGAAGCCUGAUGCAGCGACGCCGCGUGAGGGAUGACGGCCUUCGGGUUGUAAACCUCUUUUAGUAGGGACGAAGCGUAAGUGACGGUACCUGCAGAAGAAGCACCGGCUAACUACGUGCCAGCAGCCGCGGUAAUACGUAGGGUGCGAGCGUUGUCCGGAAUUACUGGGCGUAAAGAGCUCGUAGGCGGUUUGUCACGUCGUCUGUGAAAUCCUAGGGCUUAACCCUGGACGUGCAGGCGAUACGGGCUGACUUGAGUGCUACAGGGGAGGCUGGAAUUUCUGGUGUAGCGGUGGAAUGCACAGAUAUCAGGAAGAACACCGAUGGCGAAGGCAUGUCUCUGGGUAGUAACUGACGCUGAGGAGCGAAAGCAUGGGUAGCGAACAGG